UUCCAGACUCCUACGGGAGGCAGCAGUGAGGAAUAUUGGUCAAUGGGCGGAAGCCUGAACCAGCCAAGUCGCGUGAGGGAAGAAGGCCCUGCGGGUCGCAGACCUCUUUGGACGGGGAGCAAGGCCGCCGACGUGUCGGCGGAAGGAGAGUACCCGUAGAACAAGCAUCGGCUAACUCCGUGCCAGCAGCCGCGGUAAUACGGAGGAUGCGAGCGUUAUCCGGAUUUACUGGGUGUAAAGGGCGUGUAGCCGGGUUGACAAGUCAGAUGUGAAAUCCUGCGGCUUAACCGCAGAACUGCAUUUGAAACUGUUGAUCUUGAGUACUGGAGAGGCAGACGGAAUUCCUAGUGUAGCGGUGAAAUGCGUAGAUAUUAGGAGGAACACCAGUGGCGAAGGCGGUCUGCUGGACAGCAACUGACGGUGAGGCGCGAAAGCGUGGGGAGCAAACAGGAUUAGAUACCCGGGUA
rnacentral:rRNA from 1 species